AUAAAAACGAUGAUAAAGUCUUAGUAGUAAACUAAUGUAUGGGUUCAGCGAGUGUGUGGUUGGUGUGAACACAUCCCUAAUUAUUUAUGAAUUACAACUUUGGAGUUGAAUUAUUUCGGUUGUCGCCGUUAUCGACUUGAGGCAAACUUACUUGGUUUGUGAAUUAAGGUGGUACCACGGGUUAUCUCGUCCUUAUU
rnacentral:ncRNA from 1 species